AAUUCAAUUAGCUAAAUUCUAAUAUAUUAGGUCACUCAAAUAGGCUAAAUUUGCAAUACCUUUGCCAUAUUUAAAUCCACUAUUCUGAAACCCCUUAUCCUAUUAGCGAGAAUAUACAUACGUCUAUAUUCUCCACACACACACACAAAACCGUACACCACACGUGUUGACACUCAAUUUUGAGCGACCUACAACCAUUUUCAUAUUGCUAUUUGAUUAAAUAUGUAUUUUGUUAAAAAAAUCUUUUCUUUUAUGACAUGUUUAAAUUUAUACAUAAUUUUAUCUGAAUAAUUAUAUACUUUAACGUUCAUAAUUUAAAAAACUAUUAUUUUACUCUAUUAUUUCUUAUCGAUUGCUAAAUUUGAAAUAAUUACUUUAUUUAUUUAUUUAAACGUAUAUGAUAUUUAAUUGUGUUUAUUUUAUAUAAAUUUUAUUUAAUAUGUGUGAAAUGUUAUUAAUCAAGUAGCAAUUCAUUUCCUCUUCUACCAAAUUAUUUAAAUCAUAGCUUAUUCUAUUCAAUUUCUAUGUCAAUUCUAGCCUUUUCUCCAAUUUUAUGUCAAUUCUAGCCUAUUAAUUUUCAGCCAAUUCAUAAAUUCAACUUUAAUCUCAUCCAUUCAUUAGUAUCGAUCAACGACCACAAUUUGAUUUCUAUUUUAUUCCUAUUCCUAUUUCAAUGACAUUCACCCAACAACCCUACUUUUCAUUCUCCACUCUCCUUGAGAACAAACACCGCCCCUCUUUCCUUUUUCCAGUCGCCAGCACCACCCACACCCUCACCGGCGUCCCUGUCUCUUCGUCGGCGAAGUGUCGCCGGUGGACCACUUCGCUGCUCUACCCUCUCCUGCUCUUCGUUCCCUCUCAACCAGACAGCCACCAAAUCGCCUCUCCCCUCCCUUCUUCUCCUUCCAGUAACUUCUCCACCAAAAGACUGGCGAGUAUCGCCAGCUUCAGAUGUCCCUUGUCCUCUCAUCUCCGCCUGACACCAGCGAAGCGAGCAUAACCGCAUCACAACCUACUACAGAGAAAGUUCUGUACCUAAGCACCAGAGGCUCCUUAUCGAAGGAUCAUUUUAUGACUGUAAGAAUCUGUCCAUGGUAUAAUCAUUUAGCUAUUCAUUGUGUGCUCGAUUAAUUUAGAUUCAUGAAUGGUCCUGAGAUUUGAAAUUAGGUCAGGUUUGGGUUUAAGUUCGUCUGAUAGUUGUCCACAAAUGUUGUGAAUUCUGGUUCAACCUUGAACUUUUCUAUGAUUUUUGCUCAUUGAUUAUACAUUGCCACUGUGAGAUUUGAUUAUUCAAUUACAUGUCUAUUUCCUUUCCUUUAAACGAUAACCUUUAAUUAUUUCUGAACCGUGUUUUAAAGUUAUUUGCUUAAAUUUGAAUUUGUGGCAAAUUCAGUACUUAAUUUUGGUGAGCGUGUGAACAUUCUUAAUUCUUAGUAACCUAUGAUCACUUCCAUUUUUACUUGCUUCUUUUCAUAUCAAUUCAAAUUAUGACAGCCUACUCUUUGUGGCUGAAUUUAUUACCUUCCAUGAUUCAUGACUUCUCGUUUGUUUCCUUUGAUUGCUCGCUGAAACAAUGUUACUAUUUGUUAAUUAUGGUAAGUUGUCCUAAUUGAUUGAAUUGUUGUACUACAAGGAGCGAUUUUAGUGAUCUGAUAUGAAAUCGUGUGAUAGUCUUGACAUUUGUUAAAUUCAGUUUGAUUUCUUGUAUUUAUCUUGAUUCAAUUUUGUUAAAAAAGGAAAGAUAUUUCCCUGAUUUAGCUCUAAUUGAUUCCUUGCAUUUUACUGUUAAGUCUCUAUUUUACUAUAUAAGGAGCAUUCUUCUCUUUCUAUGGGAUCAUGAACAGCAGCCCUCGAGCUUUCUUUCCCUCAAAAAGAGUAACUGAUACAAAGAUCACUGGGAAAAUAGCCCUUGAGUUCUCUUUCUCUCCAUAGAAUAACUAAUCACGGAUCACUGAUGAAAGAUCCCAAAAGGCUCUCUUCCUCUUUUACAAUAUAACUAGAAGGCCUCGAUAUUUCCAAAGGACCUAUCUUUCCUUUGGAUAUUGAUAGAAAACAUCAUUCUUUCUCUAUUAUUUUCUGUUUCCUGCUGGUUGCUAAGCAUUAGAUAACCUUGAUUGCUUUAUACUUAUAUCCUCCUCGACAUAAGCACUGCUCAGAAUUCUUGAGAUUCUUGUGAUCUUGAUCUGUUGAGGAUCGGAUACGAAUUACGGACACGGUUGACUGAGUUACUGGAACAUCAAAGUGUGCUUCCUUAUUAUCAUCUUGGUCUCAUCACUGGUUGGUUUUCUUAAUGAUGCAUUCAAUAUUUAAUGUAGUAGUUUUGUAUAUCUGUAAUUGUGAAUGGUUCGAAUGCGCUAAGUAUUCUAUGGAAAAUGUCCAGAUAUGUUAUCCUAUAUUCAUAUAUGUUAAUACUUUUAAAGUUUCUUUCCCCAAUCUUAGUUGUUUGAAUUUAUGUUAAUCUUUUAACUGAAAAUAAAUGUCCCGAUACUUAAAAUAUGUUUUGAGUUUACUUUUCUCCUGAUUGUAUGUUUCCUUUAGGAUAACUCUUAAAUUUAUAUUUGGUUUGUGUAUGUGAAAUGUUUGUCUUUUAGUAUCUGGCAUAUCCAUGGUUAUAGGAUUAAAUUUAUGUCAUUAUAUCUAGGCCCCCUUAAGGUCAUAAAUCUCUUUUCUGUGAAAUGUUCAGUAUUUGUGAGUCCAAAUAUCUCAAAAGGAAUGUGUCAUCACGUACUUAGCCUUCUUUUGGAGAAUAGGUCUUGAAAGAGAUCAUGCCCCCCUUCCCUCCAUAUUAGUGAGGCAUGAAUGUACUUCAUCAAGGAAGGCUUCAUCUUUGCCAAAAGCUUAGUUGAAAUAGAGUUAAUUCAGUUAACACACACUUGUAAUUUUAGUAUAUAUGUCCAAAUGAUGUGAUGAAGGUAAAUGUCAACUUAAUCAAUUGUUGGGUUUCUUGUUAUGGAUUGCAUCCUCUCUGUAUCAAUGUCACAUGAAGUACAAUUUUGGUUAUUAUUCUUGUUUGACAUAACAUUUUUGGUUGCUUCUUCUUAACAUUAUAUUCAAGUAUCUAAUCAUGUUGUGCUUAAUUUUGAUGGCAAUAUUGGUGUCCACAGUUUUAGAGUAAGUAAUGUUUCAUGGAAUUUUAUUAAGUAUUUGGUGCACUUUAUAUCUGUUAUCGCUGAUAGACCAGCCAUUUGUUUUCCCCCCAUUUUCACGCCUAUGUAUUUCAAUACAUAAGAUCAAGUAAAUUAUAAUAAAGAUGUGACACAACAAAUGUUUAGCGACAAGUUUGUGGGUUUAUUAUCAAUGCACACAAUAAAUGUGUACUUUUUUAUUACACAUUUUCUCUUGCUUUUUUCCUCUGAUCAUAUCCUGGAUUAGUCGAUCAUCAUUUCAAGCUAAUUACAUUGUUGUUUUCAGGUUUGGUGAGUGUUUGAUACAACUUUUAGAAAGAAUUGCAACACAGAUCAAGUGAUUACAUCUCUCUACGUCAACAUUUUAUACAGAUCUCCACAAGCCUGCUCUCGUAAUUGAGUGAUGCUUUGUAUUAGUG
rnacentral:lncRNA from 1 species